CAAGGUUUCCGUAGGUGAACCUGCGGAAGGAUCAUUAACGCGCAGGCCGGAGGCUGGCCCCCCACGAUAGGAAUCAACGUUCCAUCAGGGGUGUGCAGAUGUGCGCCGGUCUUACGCCCCAUUCUUGUCUACCUUACUCGGUUGCCUCGGCGGGCCGCGCUCUCCUGGGAGAGUCGUCCGGCGAGCCUCUUUGGGGGCUUUAGCUGGAUCGCGCCCGCCGGAGGACAGACAUCAAAAAAUCUUGGAAAGCUGUCAGUCUGAGCGUUAGCAAGUAAAAUUAGUUAAAACUUUCAACAACGGAUCUCUUGGUUCCGGCAUCGAUGAAGAACGCAGCGAAAUGCGAUAAGUAAUGUGAAUUGCAGAAUUCCGUGAAUCAUCGAAUCUUUGAACGCACAUUGCGCCCUCUGGUAUUCCGGGGGGCAUGCCUGUUCGAGCGUCAUUUCAACCCCUCAAGCCCGGCUUGUGUGAUGGACGACCGUCCGACCUCCUCUUUCGGGGGCGGGACGCGCCCGAAAAGCAGUGGCCAGGCCGCGAUCCCGGCUUCCUGGGCGAAUGGGCAGUCAAACCAGCGCCCUCAGGACCGGCCGCUCUGGCCUUCCCCCAAAUCUCUCUGAGAUAUUUUUUCAGGUUGACCUCGGAUCAGGUAGGGAUACCCGCUGAACUUAAGCAUAUCAAUA
rnacentral:misc_RNA from 1 species